CGGCGGACGGGUGAGUAACGCGUGGGUAACCUGCCUCAUACAGGGGGAUAACAGUUAGAAAUGACUGCUAAUACCGCAUAAGCGCACGGGACUGCAUGGUCCAGUGUGAAAACCGAGGUGGUAUGAGAUGGACCCGCGUCUGAUUAGCUGGUUGGCGGGGUAACGGCCCACCAAGGCGACGAUCAGUAGCCGACCUGAGAGGGUGGCCGGCCACAUUGGGACUGAGACACGGCCCAAACUCCUACGGGAGGCAGCAG
rnacentral:rRNA from 1 species